rnacentral:rRNA from 1 species
GUGCCAGCAGCCGCGGUAAUACGGGGGGGGCAAGCGUUGUUCGGAAUUACUGGGCGUAAAGGGCUCGUAGGAGGCAAACUAAGUCAGACGUGAAAUCCCUCGGCUUAACCGGGGAACUGCGUCUGAUGCUGGAUGGCUUGAGUUUGGGAGAGGGAUGCGGAAUUCCAGGUGUAGCGGUGAAAUGCGUAGAUAUCUGGAGGAACACCGGUGGCGAAGGCGGCAUCCUGGACCAACACUGACGCUGAGUGAGCGAAAGCCAGGGGAGCAAACGGGAUUAGAAACCCUCGUAGUCC